CUCUCAUCUCUCCUCUGGGUUAUUUGUAACAGGCACUCAUUCACUCUACUCACAAUCCAUUCCUAGCAGCAACCGAAGUAAGCCUAUUAGGAGGGUGUGAUGACUCCUCUACUCAAAAAUUUCCCAUAUUUUCCCAUCCUUUUGUCCCAGGCGGAUUCUUUACCAUUUGCACCACCUGGGAAACCCUUUGGUCUCCUACCUAUCAGUAUCUACACUUAUUGUCAUCUAUUUCAUCUGUUUUGUUACUGUUUUUAGUUGCUCAGUCAUAUCUGACUCUUUUACACCAGGGACUAGCCCUCCGGGCUCUGUGGGAUUUCCCAUGGAGAAAUUUUCCAUGGAGUGGUCCAUGGGAUUUCCCAGGCAAGAAUACUGGAGUGGGUUGCCAUUUCCUUCUCCAGGGGGUCUUUCUGACCCAGGGAUUGAAGCCGCAUCUCCUACAUUGGCAGGUGGAUUCUUUACUGCUGAGCCACCAGGGAAGCCCUAUUGUAGUUUACCUACAGUUUUUCCAGGGGAAUCUGUAGUGGUUCUAAAAUAAGAAUUCGCUUUUAUGCAACUUGUAUUUAGGACAAUGAGGCCAGUAUAACUCAGAAGUCAUGUUGGUCAUACAUGAUUUCCCUCAGAUUAUUAAUGUUUUGCAUCACUAAACAAUAGCAGCUGAAUGCAGCAAGUUAGAAGAACAUAGAAUAUAGAAAGUAAAAGUGUUAGUUGCUCAAUUGUGUCUGACUCUUUGCAACCUCGCGGACUGUAGCCUGCCAGGCUCCUCUGUCCAUGGAAAUCUCCAAGGCAAGUAUACUGGAGUGGGGAGCCAUUCCUUUCUCCAGGGGAACUUCUCGACCCAAGGAUCUAACAGUGGUCUCUUGCACUGCAGACAGAUUCUUUACCAUCUGAACCACCAGAGAAGCCCCAUAGAAAUAGGACCUACGGCCAAACUAUGUUGAAAAGAAGACCAACCUGUGAACAGCUUGGCUAUGUGCUUUGUCCUAGAAGUGCUGAGUGUGUGGUUCUCUCUGAUCCUUGGGUAUUUUGCUCUUGUCUCCUCAAAUAAGCAGCCUCUGUCUUUUAUUUUAUCCCUUCU
ensembl:lncRNA